rnacentral:rRNA from 1 species
AGCAAUCUGCCUUGGAGUGGGGAAUAACGGCUGGAAACAGCCGCUAAUACCGCAUGACGCGUCUGGGAGGCAUCUCUCUGGACGCCAAAGAUUUAUCGCUCUGAGAUGAGCUCGCGUCUGAUUAGCUAGUUGGCGGGGUAACGGCCCACCAAGGCGACGAUCAGUAGCCGGACUGAGAGGUUGGCCGGCCACAUUGGGACUGAGACACGGCCCAGACUCCUACGGAAGGCAGCAG